UACGAAGGGGGCUAGCGUUGUUCGGAAUUAUUGGGCGUAAAGGGCGCGUAGGCGGUGCGGUAAGUCUGUAGUGAAAUCUCUGGGCUCAACUCAGAGUCUGCUAUAGAAACUGCCGUGCUAGAGUGUGGGAGAGGUGAGUGGAAUUCCCGGUGUAGCGGUGAAAUGCGUGGAUAUCGGGAGGAACACCUGUGGCGAAAGCGGCUCACUGGACCACAACUGACGCUGAGGCGCGAAAGCUAGGGGAGCAAACAGG
rnacentral:rRNA from 1 species